UCUAACAGGGAGUGCAAUGGAAGCGGGUGACAAAAAAAAAUGGGAGAAAGCAAGAGGAACAGAUAAACCACUAACUGGGUUAAUCCCCCUGCAAACAUCCAGGAUUCUGUGGAAGACAAGAGCCAAUUCCCCAAGAGAACUACGUCACUCUGAUAGACGUCCAAGAGAGAGAAAAGGGGCUAUUGGAAAAGGAGGCCUAAUGGGCCUGAUGUAGCAAUCCUGGAAGGGUUUGUGCUGCUGCCGGCUAGGAGCCAAGCAGAAGAUGAUUGACUGGCCAACUGUAUUAAUAAUAAUAAUAGUAAUAAUAAUUAUAAUAACUA